rnacentral:rRNA from 1 species
GCUACGGGGGGCUGCAGUGGGGAAUAUUGCACAAUGGGGGAAACCCUGAUGCAGCGACGCCGCGUGAGUGAAGAAGUAAUUCGUUACGUAAAGCUCUAUCAGCAGGGAAGAAAAUGACGGUACCUGAGUAAGAUGCCCCGGCUAACUAGGUGCCAGCCGCCGCGGUAAUACGUAGGGGGCAAGCGGUGUCCGGAUUUACUGGGUGUAAAGGGAGCGUAGACGGUGGGCCAAGGAUGGAGUGAAAUGCCGCGGCUUAACUGUGGAACUGCUUUGGAAACUGGCGAACUAGAGUGCGGGAGGGGUAAGCGGAAUUCCUAGUGUAGCGGUGAAAUGCGUAGAUAUUAGGAGGAACACCGGUGGCGAAGGCGGCUUACUGGACCGUAACUGACGUUGAGGCUCGAAAGCGUGGGGAGCAAACAGGAUUAGAUACCCCUGUAGUC